rnacentral:rRNA from 1 species
CUACGGGCGGCUGCAGUGGGGAAUAUUGCACAAUGGGCGCAAGCCUGAUGCAGCCAUGCCGCGUGUAUGAAGAAGGCCUUCGGGUUGUAAAGUACUUUCAGCGGGGAGGAAGGGAGUAAAGUUAAUACCUUUGCUCAUUGACGUUACCCGCAGAAGAAGCACCGGCUAACUCCGUGCCAGCAGCCGCGGUAAUACGGAGGGUGCAAGCGUUAAUCGGAAUUACUGGGCGUAAAGCGCACGCAGGCGGUUUGUUAAGUCAGAUGUGAAAUCCCCGGGCUCAACCUGGGAACUGCAUCUGGUACUGGGAAGCUUGAGUCUCGUAGAGGGGGGUAGAAUUCCAGGUGUAGCGGUGAAAUGCGUAGAGAUCUGGAGGAAUACCGGUGGCGAAGGCGGCCCCCUGGACGAAGACUGACGCUCAGGUGCGAAAGCGUGGGGAGCAAACAGGAUUAGAUACCCCGGUAGUC